CAUGCAAGUCGAGCGGACCCUUCGGGGUUAGCGGCGGACGGGUGAGUAACACGUGGGUAACCUGCCUGUAAGAUUGGGAUAACUCCGGGAAACCGGAGCUAAUACCGGAUAACAUUUCGAACCGCAUGGUUCGAAAUUGAAAGACGGCUUUUAGCUGUCACUUACAGAUGGACCCGCGGCGCAUUAGCUAGUUGGUGAGGUAACGGCUCACCAAGGCGACGAUGCGUAGCCGACCUGAGAGGGUGAUCGGCCACACUGGGACUGAGACACGGCCCAGACUCCUACGGGAGGCAGCAGUAGGGAAUCUUCCGCAAUGGACGAAAGUCUGACGGAGCAACGCCGCGUGAACGAUGAAGGCCUUCGGGUCGUAAAGUUCUGUUGUUAGGGAAGAACAAGUACCAGAGUAACUGCUGGUACCUUGACGGUACCUAACCAGAAAGCCACGGCUAACUACGUGCCAGCAGCCGCGGUAAUACGUAGGUGGCAAGCGUUGUCCGGAAUUAUUGGGCGUAAAGCGCGCGCAGGCGGUUUCUUAAGUCUGAUGUGAAAGCCCACGGCUCAACCGUGGAGGGUCAUUGGAAACUGGGAAACUUGAGUGCAGAAGAGGAGAGUGGAAUUCCACGUGUAGCGGUGAAAUGCGUAGAGAUGUGGAGGAACACCAGUGGCGAAAGCGACUCUCUGGUCUGUAACUGACGCUGA
rnacentral:rRNA from 1 species